rnacentral:rRNA from 1 species
AUCUGGGCGGCGGAAUUCAGGAUGGUCGAGCGAGUCUCGCGCUCGAGCGGCCAUUUGAUAUUUCCGUCGCCGUUGCAGACGUCGCGACCUGUUUGUCGUCGGUCCUUGCUCGGAGGAAUCCGCGAUCGAGUUCGUUGCGGGGCGCGUUUCGGCGUGUCUCGCGACGAAGACGCGGCUCUCUGGCUGACGACGGACAGUAAGCAACGGUGGCCGGCGUGGUGUCUCGCACUCCGCGUCCGGUGCCGGUCAGCGACGAUUUCUUCGGGCCUCUUUCCGACCCGUCUUGAAACACGGACCAAGGAGUCUAACAUGCGCGCGAGUCGCGGGGUUUCGAGCGUGCCACGGUGCGCUCGUUACUUCCGAAACCCGUACGUUGAAGGCGUAAUGAAAGUGAACAGGGAAGAUGGCGUUCCGAGUCCACGAACCGUGAUCGAGUAUCGCGGCCGGACGCCCGCACUCCCGGGGCGUCUCAAUGGCUCGUCGCGGAUGCGGACGGUCGUUCUUCGGGGCGGCCGUCGGUCUGCGACGGACCGA